CCUACGGGAGGCAGCAGUGGGGACUAUUGCACAAUGGGGGGAACCCUGAUGCAGCGACGCCGCGUGAGUGAAGAAGUAUUUCGGUAUAUAAAGCUCUAUCAGCAGGGAAGAAAAUGACGGUACCUGACUAAGAAGCACCGGCUAACUACGUCCCAGCAGCCGCGGUAAUACGUCGGGGGCAACCGUUAUCCGGAUUUACUGGGUGUAAAGGGAGCGUAGACGGUUAUGCAAGUCUGAAGUGAAAGCCCACGGCUCAACCAUGGGACUGCUUUGGAAACUGUAAGACUGGAGUGCAGGAGAGGUAAGCGGAAUUCCUAGUGUAGCGGUGAAAUGCGUAGAUAUUAGGAGGAACACCAGUGGCGAAGGCGGCUUACUGGACUGUAACUGACGUUGAGGCUCGAAGGCGUGGGGAGCAAACAGGAUUAGAUACCCCAGUAGUC
rnacentral:rRNA from 1 species